CCCCAGUAACGGCGAGUGAAGCGGCAACAGCUCAAAUUUGAAAUCUGGCCCCAGGCCCGAGUUGUAAUUUGUAGAGGAUGCUUUUGGUGCGGCGCCUUCCGAGUUCCCUGGAACGGGACGCCAUAGAGGGUGAGAGCCCCGUCUGGUUGGCCGCCAAGCCUCUGUAAAGCUCCUUCGACGAGUCGAGUAGUUUGGGAAUGCUGCUCUAAAUGGGAGGUAUAUGUCUUCUAAAGCUAAAUACCGGCCAGAGACCGAUAGCGCACAAGUAGAGUGAUCGAAAGAUGAAAAGCACUUUGAAAAGAGAGUUAAAUAGCACGUGAAAUUGUUGAAAGGGAAGCGCUUGUGACCAGACUUGGGCUUGGUUAAUCAUCCAGCGUUCUCGCUGGUGCACUUGGCCGGCCCAGGCCAGCAUCAGUUCGGCUUGGGGGAUAAAGGCGUCGGGAACGUGGCUCCCCCGGGAGUGUUAUAGCCCUUCGCGCAAUGCCCUGAGCCGGACUGAGGUUCGCGCAUCUGCAUGGAUGCUGGCGUAAUGGUCAUCAGCGACCCGUCUUGAAACACGGACCAAGGAGUCGUCUUCGUAUGCGAGUGUUCGGGUGUCAAACCCCUACGCGUAAUGAAAGUGAACGCAGGUGAGAGCUUCGGCGCAUCACCGACCGAUCCUGAUGUUCUCGGAUGGAUUUGAGUAAGAGCAUACGGGGCCG
rnacentral:rRNA from 1 species